GUUCCCCCUCUCCAUGUAAUCUGAUUCAUUAUGAUAUAGGAUCAGGUCCCCCCUCUCCAUGUAAUCUGAUUCAUUAUGAUCUAGGAUCAGGUCCCCCCCUCUCCAUGUAAUCUGACUCAUUAUGAUCUAGGAUCAGGUCCCCCCUCUCCAUGUAAUCUGAUUCAUUAUGAUCAGGUCCCCCCCUCUCCAUGUAAUCUGAUUCAUUAUGAUAUAGGAUCAGGUCCCCCCUCUCCAUGUAAUCUGAUUCAUUAUGAUCUAGGAUCAGGUCCCCCCUCUCCAUGUAAUCUGAUUCAUUAUGAUCAGGUCCC
rnacentral:lncRNA from 1 species